ensembl:lncRNA
CAGUGGGUGGCUUCGUCCCACGUGCCACUGAGAGUGGGGACUCUGCUUCCAGUCCUGCUAACCAGAUCUCAGGAAAGCUUACAGUGUGGGUAAAUUUGGGUUGAUUUUCAGAGAAUUAGCAAAUGAUCUGUUAACUUUUCCAGAAGAUGGAGCCAGGGUAUACAUUGUUCCUUAAGGUUGUUUUGAGGGGGAACAAAAAAACCAAACAAACAGAACAGUCUGCUUAUUUCCCUAAGUAUUUAGCCUGCAGGAAAAUCUGAUUAGAAGACUUCAGCCCCACAGGUUAAAGUGUAGCCAAAUUAUGAAGCAGAGAAAUCUUGGAUGACUUUACUGGUAGCAGAGUACUUGUAGCAGCCUUGCUGCUAAUAAGAAGGCAUGUACACGCACACAUGCACCCACAGAGACUUCGUGCGCAUAGACAAGCACAGUAAUUAGCAGGACGCUGGUUGCCCUCUCAUUUAUUUCACUUGUUCUUUUCUGUAGAGCUUAAUCUUGCAGACAGUUUGCUUUAAUCCUGAGUGGAUGGAAACGGCAGGAGUCUGUGUAAAAUUGGUGUAUGUUUUCAGCCACUGAGAGCAGAAACCAUCAGAAGGCAAUGCUGAAUAAAUCCAGAGGAACACCAUGGCAUUAAGGGUGCAUCAUGCUGAGCAUGCCUACUGUGGUAGAAGGUGACUCCCAUCCCAGUGAUGGAUGAGAUCCUGAACAAGUAAGCAUGUCAGGAGCACUCCUGCCACAGAUACUGACCUCUGUGAACAUAAAGUGCACUAUGAUCCCUAUUGCUCCAUCACCACCUUCAAGUUUGCAUGGUGUGUGCCACCACCUCACCUGCAUGAGCCCAGGAGGUGCUCCAGGCACGGAGCAGAAGCUCCCUGAAGCUCAGGAGAAGCCCAUGGAGGAGCAGGCCAUCCCCCUGCAGCCCAUGGAUACCACAUGGAGCAGAUCUCCAUGUGCAGCCAUGGAGGAGUCUAUGGUGCAGCAGUGGAUGAGGCCUGGAGGAGCCACAGCACAUGUUUUUUUGACUAGAUGUAUGAUUGCCAGAAGAACAUUGUUAAAAUCCCUGUCAAGAACCAACUGCAAGUAUCUGUUACAGAAAAAUGCUCCAUCUCCUGACCUUCUGCACCCACAAAUACAAGAUGUCUCAUCUGCUCUUCAUGUUGGUGGAUAUCGUGUCAGAGCUAGGAGCAUGGUUUUGCAGUUAGCAAGGUUAGAGCAGCUGCAGCACAGGGCUUCUUUUGCCCAGCAUUAUGCUGUGCCAGCAAAAGGUUUUCAGGCUGCACAGAAAUG